rnacentral:rRNA from 1 species
AUGAGGAUCCAGUGCGACGCGUGCGAGGGCGCGGCGGCGACGGUGGUGUGCUGCGCGGACGAGGCGGCGCUGUGCGCGCGCUGCGACGUGCAGAUCCACGCCGCCAACAAGCUGGCCAGCAAGCACCAGCGCCUGCCGCUCGAGGACGCCGCCGACGCCGCCGGCCUCCCGCGCUGCGACGUGUGCCAGGACAAGCCGGCCUUCGUCUUCUGCGUGGACGACAGGGCGCUCUUCUGCCGCGACUGCGACGACUCCAUCCACGUCCAGGGCACGCUCUCCGCCAACCACCAGCGCUACAUCGCCACCGGCAUCCGCGUCAGCUUCAGCUCCGUCUGCAGCGCCCACGCCGACACCCACCCGCCGCCGCCGCCGACCUCCAAGCCCAAGGCGCCGCCGACCGUCGCCGUCCACAGGGCGGAGCCGGUCUCGGCCGCCGCGCAGGAGGUGCCGUCGUCGCCGUUCCUGCCGUCGUCCGGCUGGGCCGUCGAGGACCUCCUGCAGUUCUCUGACUACGAGUCCAACGAUAAGCAGAAGGGUUCUCCGUCUCCUCUUGGGUUCAAGGAGCUGGAGUGGUUCGCCGACAUCGACCUGUUCCACGAGUAUGACGACCAGGCGCCGGCACCAAAGUGGGGCAGAACCGCGGCGGAGGUGCCCGAGCUCUUCGCCUCGCCGCAGCCGGCCAGCAACGCCGGCUUCUACAAGACAGCCGGAGCGCGCCAGAGCAAGAAGGCGAGGGUGGAGCUGCCCGACGACGACGACGAGGACUACCUCCUCGUUCCUGAUCUUGGAUGA